ensembl:lncRNA
GAACAUUUUCUUUCACAGUGACACUGACUCCGAAUGGGAGUCUUAUCCGGUGUCCUGUGUGAAUUUAAGUAUGCGCUCUCUAAUUCUCUCUUUCUCUCUCUCUCGGAGGACCUGAGCCCUAGGACCAUGCGUCAGGACUACCUGGCAUGAUGACACCUUGCUGUCCCCAGUCCACCUAGCCUUGCCGCUGUUCCAGUUUCAACUGUUCUGCCUGCGGCUAUGGAACCCUAAACUGUUCAUUUUUACUCGAGGUGCUGUCCUGUUGCACCCUCUACAACCACUGUGAUCUCCACCCGGCACAGCCAGAAGAGGACUGGCCACCCCUCAUAGCCUGGUUCAUAGCCCCUCAUAGAGGACUGAGGGUCUUCCAAAUAUUGAAAAAUACCAUUUUGGUAUUUUGUUUAUAGUUAUUUGUUUCAAAAUGUAUACCUUCACCAAUUUGGCCACUUGGGUACAUUUGGGCUACUUGUGUGGGACACCUGGUGACUUCAUGAUAAAUGUCAUGUAGCACACUCCUUUUGGAAGUUAUCAUUCUGAAACUUUGCACAAGUACUGUUGCCCUCUUAUAUUUUUCACUGAAAUUGUCCCCAUCAUCCUAUCUGAAUGUUUGUUUUAUCUUGUUCAUUUUAAAGAAGAUAAAACAAUGAAAAAAAAAAGUUAUUUAAACCAGAUCUAUUGUGUGUUAUUCUCCUACAUUCAAUUCACAUUUACACAAACUUCAGAGUAUUUUCUUUCAAAUGGUACCAAGAAUAUGCAUAUCCUUGGUUCUGUGCCUGAGCUACAGGCUGUUAGAUUUGGGUAUGUCUUCAGGCGGAAAUUGCACAAAGUAGGGGGGGAGCUGCAAGAGGUUAUUAAGGCCUGAUUGUUAGAGUGCUGCAGAGAUGGUUGUUCUUCUGGAAGGUUCUCCCAUCUCCACAGAGAAACUCUGGAGCUCUGUCCGAGUUACCAUCGGGUUUUUGGUCACCUCCCUGACCAAAGCCCUUCUCCCACGAUUGCUCAGUUUGGCCGGGCGGCCAGCUCUAGGAAGAGUCUUGGUGGUUCCAAACUUCUUCCAUUUUACAAAUGAUGGAUGCCACUGUGUUUU